rnacentral:tRNA from 1 species
UCCGUGAUGGUUUAAUGGUCAGAAUGGGCGCUUGUCGCGUGCCAGAUCGGGGUUCAAUUCCCCGUAGCGGAG